rnacentral:rRNA from 1 species
ACUCCUACGGGAGGCAGGAGUGAGGAAUAUUGGUCAAUGGACGGAAGUGUGAACCAGCCAAGUAGCGUGCAGGAUGACGGCCAUAUGGGUUGUAAAGUGCGUAUGUGUGGGAAUAAAGUGAGGGACGUGUCUGUUUGUGGAGGUACCACAUGAAUAAGGAGCGGCUAAUUGUGUGCCAGCAGCCGCGGUAAU